rnacentral:tRNA from 1 species
GGUGGCUCAGUGGUAGAGCGCUUGCCUCGCAUGCAUGAAGCCCUGGGUUCGAUUCCUCAGCACCU